rnacentral:misc_RNA from 1 species
GAUCUACUAAAACGUGGAGGUAU